rnacentral:tRNA from 1 species
AGGCUAUGGGUCUGCUUGGUGAAGAUGCCACUCUGUCACAGUGGAGAAGAUGAGUUCAAAUCUCAUAUAGCCUG